AUGCCAUCAAGCACAUACAACAGUGUCCGUUCCCUGCCAUCACCAAUUCCACCUUUAUGGACACUUCAAUCGAUACGAUUUCAAACGGCGCUCUUGAUUUCGGCGGCUUGUGUGGUUUUUGGACUAAUGCGGACUUGUUUUGGGAUGGCUAUGGUUGAUAUUGUUAGGAGCGGAAAUGGAACAUUUCACCCAGAUUUACAUAUGGAAUGGAGUGGAGAUGAGCAAGCAAAUAUUCAUACUUCUUUCUAUAUUGGAGCAUUUAUUGCCGUUUUUCCAUCGGAAUUUCUUGCCAAAAAACUAGGGCCCAAGAAUCUCUUGUCAUUUGCACUUUUGCUCAAUAUAUUUGGCUCCCUUCUCACCCCAUUUUCUGCAAUUUACCUCCGUUCCUACUUUCCAGUAGCUGCAAUUCGUUUGAUAAUGGGAUUUGGUUACGGCUUCGUAAUCCCCGCUGGAAGUGUGCUCAUCUCGUCUUGGUUCCCACUUUCCGAGAAAAGCACGGCCAUGGCAAUAUUCACAACGGGAAAUCAGAUUGGAAUCGCCGUUUCCAUGUUCCUAACGGCAAAGCUUUGUCAGCUUCAUUUUUUCGAAGGGUGGCCGCUGGUUUUUAUAGUUUACGGGCUCAUUGGAGCAGUUUUCUUGGUGAUUUGGCAUGUUAGGCUAGCGGAUAAGCCAAGGGAGUCGAAAUAUAUCACAGCGACAGAGUUGACCUACAUCAAAGGCGGGAAACAGAGAAGAAACCGAGCAGAGACUAUCGUUAGAGCAACUCCUUAUAUGAAGAUUAUCCUCAACGGUUGUGUCUGCGCCAUCUGUGCGUGUUCAUUUGCUCAAAGUUUCGUCCUUGUGGCUCUGGUGACCUAUCUUCCAAAGUAUAAUCAAAUCGCGUUCAAGAUGAAUUUGACGCAUAACGGAAUUUGGUCUUCUCUUCCAUUUUUCAUCCAAAUGAUCACCAAAUUGUUGUUCGCGAUUAUUGCAGACAAGGUUAAGCAGCGAAAAGUGAAUGCAACCGCAGUUACGAAGGUCUCAAAUGCUAUUGCCAGUUUUGCCAGCGCAAUCUUCAUUGUGAUCGCCGCCUACGGCCCGUUUGACAGUGCCGAACUCGUCCAGCUGAGCAUAAUUGUAUCGAUGGCGGCGUUCUCGGCAUAUGUUCCCGGAUACAACACAUCGAUUGUUACGGUGGCUCCGCAGCGAAAAAAAAAAUCGUAACUAGAGAAAAAAUUGCAAAUUUUGCAGUUCACCGCAUUCAUUUCGUCGUAUGCUCAGCUGUACGCACAAAUUGCAUCAACACUUGCACCGAUCGUUAUCGGACGGAUUACGAGUCAUGGCACAAUUUACGAGUGGAAGUGUGCAUUUUAUAGUUUGGCCGGAGUUUUGGCAGUGACGGGGCUCAUUUUCCAAAUUUUCGGGCAUGGUACGGAAGGCGGCACGCAACGCAGCACGCAACGCUGCACGCAGCGCAGCACGCAACGCAGCACGCAACGUGACACGCAAUGAGGCACGCACCGCAGCGCGAAACGCAGCACGCAACGCGACACGCAACGCAGCACGCAACGCAGCACGCAACGCAGCACGCAACGCGAUACGCAACGCAGCACGCGACGCAGUACGCAACGCGACACGCAACGCAACACAGUUCCCUUUUUCAGGAAGAACCGAGCCUUGGGGAGAGACACCGUCAAAUGCCACGUCAGCAAGACUCUCCACUUCGGUAACAAUGUGUGAGGAUGGAAUGUGCAAGCUGACCCUUUUGGAGAAACAUAAUCACGAAUUCCGAACAGAAUCAAAAAUCUCAUCCGGGUCAGGGAAUUUGAAAAAGAAGGUACGUUGUCCACGUGGAGUACACGAUUUUGCCAAAUUUAUUUUCACAAAAAUUUGAAUUUUCCGCGGAGCCAACAAGCGGAGUGUCGUUGCAACAAAUUUCUAAAUUCCAGGUGUCACGAGUAUCGUAUGCCGGUGAGGAAAUUGUGAUACCCGGUCGGAUAGAGGAUCUCGAGAAUGACGUCAUUUAUAGUAUAGAAGAAGAACGUGAAGAUUAA